rnacentral:rRNA from 1 species
AGAGUUUGAUCAUGGCUCAGGAUUAACGCUGGCGGCGUGCCUCAUACAUGCAAGUCGAGCGGGGUCUGUUGAAAGGAAGCUUCGGCCGAAUUUCUUCAGUACCUAGCGGCGAACGGGUGAGUAACACGUAGGAAACCUGCCCUCGAGUUCGGGACAACAUCGAGAAAUCGGUGCUAAAACCGGAUAUGACCACACUAUCGCAUGGUAGAGUGGUGAAAUGAGGCUUUCGGGCUAAGCUCGGGGAGGGUCCUGCGGCCCAUUAGCUAGUUGGUAGGGUAACGGCCUACCAAGGCGAUGAUGGGUAGCCGGCCUGAGAGGGUGAACGGCCACAUUGGGACUGAGACACGGCCCAGACUCCUACGGGAGGCAGCAGUAGGGAAUUUUGCGCAAUGGGCGAAAGCCUGACGCAGCGACGCCGCGUGAAGGAUGAAGGCCUUCGGGUCGUAAACUUCUGUCAGGGGGGACGAACUCCAUAAUCAUGAACAAUGUUUAUGGAUUGACGGUACUCCCAGAGGAAGCACCGGCUAAAUACGUGCCAGCAGCCGCGGUAAUACGUAUGGUGCAAGCGUUAUCCGGAAUCAUUGGGCGUAAAGGGGGCGUAGGCGGUUAUGUAAGUCAGAUGUGAAAACGCAGGGCUCAACCCGGCGCCUGCAUCUGAAACUGCAUGACUAGAGUACAGGAGAGGAAAGCGGAAUUCCCAGUGUAGCGGUGAAAUGCUUAGAUAUUGGGAAGAACACCGGUGGCGAAGGCGGCUUUCUGGACUGUUACUGACGCUGAGGCCCGAAAGCUAGGGUAGCGAACGGGAUUAGAUACCCCGGUAGUCCUAGCUGUAAACGUUGAAUACUAGGUGUCAGGGGCAUCGACCCCCCUGGUGCCGCAGUUAACGCAUUAAGUAUUCCGCCUGGGGACUACGGCCGCAAGGUUGAAACUCAAAGGAAUUGACGGGGGCCCGCACAGGCGGUGGAGCAUGUGGUUUAAUUCGAUGCAACGCGAAGAACCUUACCCAGGUUUGACAUCCUUGGACCGCCUAGGAAACUAGGUUUCCCUUCGGGGCCAAGUGACAGGUGCUGCAUGGCUGUCUUCAGCUCGUGUCGUGAGAUGUUGGGUUAAGUCCCGCAACGAGCGCAACCCCUGUCGUUAGUUACCAGCGAGUAAUGUCGGGCACUCUAACGAGACUGCCGGUGAUAAACCGGAGGAAGGUGGGGAUGACGUCAAGUCCUCAUGGCCUUUAUAUCUGGGGCUACACGCGUGCUACAAUGGAUGGUACAGAGGGCUGCGAAACCGCGAGGUGGAGCGAAUCUCUUAAAACCAUUCUCAGUUCGGAUUGCAGGCUGCAACUCGCCUGCAUGAAGUUGGAAUCGCUAGUAAUCGCAGAUCAGCACGCUGCGGCGAAUACGUUCUCGGGCCUUGUACACACCGCCCGUCACACCACCCGAGUUGGUUGCUCCCGAAGUCGCUGACCCAACCUGUCUAAGGAGGGAGGCGCCGAAGGAGUGGCUAGUAAGGGGGGUGAAGUCGUAACAAGGUA